rnacentral:rRNA from 1 species
GACGAACGCUGGCGGCGUGCUUAACACAUGCAAGUCGAACGGAAAGGCCCUGCUUUUGUGGGGUGCUCGAGUGGCGAACGGGUGAGUAACACGUGAGUAACCUGCCCUUGACUUUGGGAUAACUUCAGGAAACUGGGGCUAAUACCGGAUAGGAGCUCCUGCUGCAUGGUGGGGGUUGGAAAGUUUCGGCGGUUGGGGAUGGACUCGCGGCUUAUCAGCUUGUUGGUGGGGUAGUGGCUUACCAAGGCUUUGACGGGUAGCCGGCCUGAGAGGGUGACCGGCCACAUUGGGACUGAGAUACGGCCCAGACUCCUACGGGAGGCAGCAGUGGGGAAUAUUGCACAAUGGGCGGAAGCCUGAUGCAGCAACGCCGCGUGCGGGAUGACGGCCUUCGGGUUGUAAACCGCUUUCGCCUGUGACGAAGCGUGAGUGACGGUAAUGGGUAAAGAAGCACCGGCUAACUACGUGCCAGCAGCCGCGGUGAUACGUAGGGUGCGAGCGUUGUCCGGAUUUAUUGGGCGUAAAGGGCUCGUAGGUGGUUGAUCGCGUCGGAAGUGUAAUCUUGGGGCUUAACCCUGAGCGUGCUUUCGAUACGGGUUGACUUGAGGAAGGUAGGGGAGAAUGGAAUUCCUGGUGGAGCGGUGGAAUGCGCAGAUAUCAGGAGGAACACCAGUGGCGAAGGCGGUUCUCUGGGCCUUUCCUGACGCUGAGGAGCGAAAGCGUGGGGAGCGAACAGGCUUAGAUACCCUGGUAGUCCACGCUGUAAACGGUGGGUACUAGGUGUGGGGUCCAUUCCACGGGUUCCGUGCCGUAGCUAACGCUUUAAGUACCCCGCCUGGGGAGUACGGCCGCAAGGCUAAAACUCAAAGGAAUUGGCGGGGCCCCGCACAAGCGGCGGAGCAUGCGGAUUAAUUCGAUGCAACGCGUAGAACCUUACCUGGGUUUGACAUGGAUCGGGAGUGCUCAGAGAUGGGUGUGCCUCUUUUGGGGUCGGUUCACAGGUGGUGCAUGGCUGUCGUCAGCUCGUGUCGUGAGAUGUUGGGUUAAGUCCCGCAACGAGCGCAACCCUUGUUCACUGUUGCCAGCACGUUAUGGUGGGGACUCAGUGGAGACCGCCGGGGUCAACUCGGAGGAAGGUGGGGAUGACGUCAAGUCAUCAUGCCCCUUAUGUCCAGGGCUUCACGCAUGCUACAAUGGCUGGUACAGAGAGUGGCGAGCCUGUGAGGGUGAGCGAAUCUCGGAAAGCCGGUCUCAGUUCGGAUUGGGGUCUGCAACUCGACCUCAUGAAGUCGGAGUCGCUGGUAAUCGCAGAUCAGCAACGCUGCGGUGAAUACGUUCCCGGGGCU